rnacentral:rRNA from 1 species
CCCUUAGACGUUCUGGGCCGCACGCGCGCUACACUGACCAGUGCAACAAGCAUCCGUCCUUGGCCGACAGGCCCGGGCAAUCUUUGAACGCUGGUCGUGAUGGGGAUAGACUUUUGCAAUUUUUGGUCUUCAACGAGGAAUUCCUAGUAAACGCAAGUCAUCAACUUGCAUUGAUUACGUCCCUGCCCUUUGUACACACCGCCCGUCGAACCUACCGAUUGAAGGGUCCGGUGAAGCCUCCGGAUUGGCGCGCACCUCGGUGCCGCCGAGAAGUUGGCUAAACCUUACCAUUUAGAGGAAGGUGAAGUCGUAACA